rnacentral:rRNA from 1 species
GACGAACGCUGGCGGCGUGCUUAACACAUGCAAGUCGAACGGAAAGGCCCUGCUUUUGUGGGGUGCUCGAGUGGCGAACGGGUGAGUAACACGUGAGUAACCUGCCCUUGACUUUGGGAUAACUUCAGGAAACUGGGGCUAAUACCGGAUAGGAGCUCCUGCUGCAUGGUGUGGGCUGGAAAGUUUCGGCGGUUGGGGAUGGACUCGCGGCUUAUCAGCUUGUUGGUGGGGUAGUGGCUUACCAAGGCUUUGACGGGUAGCCGGCCUGAGAGGGUGACCGGCCACAUUGGGACUGAGAUACGGCCGAGACUCCUACGGGAGGCAGGAGUGGGGAAUAUUGCACAAUGGGCGGAAGCCUGAUGCAGCAACGCCGCGUGCGGGAUGACGGCCUUCGGGUUGUAGACCGCUUUCGCCUGUGACGAAGCGUGAGUGACGGUAAUGGGUAAAGAAGCACCGGCUAACUACGU